rnacentral:rRNA from 1 species
GACGAACCGUGCGAACGUUAUUCGGAUUCACUGGGCGUAAAGCGCACGUAGGCGGCUUACUAAGUCAGGGGUGAAAUCCUGGAGCUCAACUCCAGAACUGCCUUUGAUACUGGUGAGCUUGAGUCCGGAAGAGGUGAGUGGAACUGCGAGUGUAGAGGUGAAAUUCGUAGAUAUUCGCAAGAACACCAGUGGCGAAGGCGGCUCACUGGUCCGGUACUGACGCUGAGGUGCGAAAGCGUGGGGAGCAAACAGG